GUGGAGAGGGCCAAUGGGCUGGCUGCCAACCUGGACAAGAAGCAGAGGAACUUUGACAAGGUGUUGGCAGAGUGGAAACAGAAGUACGAGGAGGGUCAGGCAGAGCUUGAGGGAGCACAG